rnacentral:rRNA from 1 species
GACGAACGCUGGCGGCGUGCUUACACAUGCAGUCGAACGGGAACCUUUAUUCGGUAAAGGUGAGAGUGGCAAACGGGUGAGUAACACGUAGGCAACCUGCCGACAGGAUGGGGACAACAUUCCGAAAGGAAUGCUAAUACCGAAUGAAGUCGAGGGAAGGCAUCUUCCCUUGAUGAAAGAUGGCCUCUGAAUAUGCUAUCACCUGUCGAUGGGCCUGCGUCUGAUUAGCCAGUUGGCGGGGUAACGGCCCACCAAAGCGACGAUCAGUAGCCGGUCUGAGAGGAUGAACGGCCACAUUGGGACUGAGACACGGCCCAGACUCCUACGGGAGGCAGCAGUGGGGAAUCUUCCACAAUGGGCGAAAGCCUGAUGGAGCAACGCCGCGUGAGUGAAGAAGGUCUUCGGAUCGUAAAGCUCUGUUGUACGGGACGAAAACCGGGUUUGAGAAUAUUGAACCCGGGUGACGGUACCGUACGAGGAAGCCACGGC